AUUUAUCAUCGACUGCUUCCAUCAACUCGACACUAUAAAGUCAUCCACUGUUGACAUCGAAAUGGAAUUCGAAACAGGCAAGGUGAAGUUUCCAGCAAACACCAAAGUAUACUCACUAGUCCUCCACGAUGCUGUUUUAUCUUCUAAUGCCUUAAUCGGCUCUGUUCUCACUGGAUUGUAAUACGGUUGACAUGUCAUUCACCAUGAAAUACUCGAUAUUGUAGAAUAAUAAAACAUUUAAUGAUUA